UACGUAGGGGGCAAGCGUUGUCCGGAAUCAUUGGGCGUAAAGAGCGUGUAGGCGGUCCGUUAAGUCGGCUGUGAAAGUCCAAGGCUCAACCUUGGGAUGCCGGUCGAUACUGCCGGACUAGAGUUCGGAAGAGGUGAGUGGAACUCCGAGUGUAGAGGUGAAAUUCGUAGAUAUUCGGAAGAACACCAGUGGCGAAGGCGGCUCACUGGUCCGGUACUGACGCUGAGGUGCGAAAGCGUGGGGAGCAAACAGG
rnacentral:rRNA from 1 species